rnacentral:rRNA from 1 species
CCUACGGGUGGCUGCAGUGGGGGAUAUUGCACAAUGGGGGGAACCCUGAUGCAGCGACGCCGCGUGGGUGAAGAAGCGCCUCGGCGCGUAAAGCCCUGUCAGCAGGGAAGCAAAUGACGGUACCUGAAGAAGAAGCCCCGGCUAACUACGUGCCAGCAGCCGCGGUAAUACGUAGGGGGCAAGCGUUAUCCGGAUUUACUGGGUGUAAAGGGAGCGUAGACGGAAAGGCAAGUCAGAAGUGAAAGCCCAAGGCUCAACCAUGGGACUGCUUUUGAAACUGUCAAACUAGAGUACGGGAGAGGUAAGAGGAAUUCCUAGUGUAGCGGUGAAAUGCGUAGAUAUUAGGAGGAACACCAGUGGCGAAGGCGUCUUACUGGACCGAAACUGACGUUGAGGCUCGAAAGCGUGGGGAGCAAACAGGAUUAGAUACCCGGGUAGUC